CCGGAAGUAAACACACAGCCUUGCCUCCGAUAUUUUCCCUGCCUCGCCUGGCCUGCCCUCCUCGCCCGGCUACGGCAACCCGGAAGUGACCGCGUUGCUGGGGAAGAUGGGAAAUGUAGUCCAGCGGCAAGCCUUAGGGGCAAGGAGCGGCGGGAGGCGCUAGGAGGGGGAGAGCGGAAAGAAAUGGCUCCAACAGUAAUGGAGGGACCUGACUGAGACUGGCCAAACUGAGAGAGUGACUUCUGCUGUCCUGCUGCAGUCCUGCUAAACUCCCCCCCCCCCCGCACCACCACCACCACCACCACCACCACCACUCCUUGUGAGGGAAGCUCGCAUUACAGUCCUGAGAAUGACUGCAAGCAAUAUAAAUGGAGUUCUGCUUAUAUACCUUGCAGGUGUAUAAAGGCACUAAGAACCUUCUACCAGGGCCUAUGGCAUGUGUUGCCAUCUUUUUAAAAUCUUCUCUUCAAGCAUGAAGAUUAAACAAAUGAACAGACAAA